GUUCUGGUGUGUGAGGAGAAUAUUUGAGGCUCUGCAGUAAAAAUGUCUUCACUUCAGUCUCUGGGAGAGUUGAUCAGCUAAAGCGACUAACUGCUGCUGCUGCAGAAAUCUUCUCACCAGGCUGUGGAAACUUUCUUCUCCUCCUCAACAACUUGGUGGAGUUCUUUCCAGAACCAGAGAAGAUAUUCUGCGGUCUUCGUGACAAUCGGAGCUCCAGAAUCAGGUUGUGGCUGUUAGCUAAACACGGCUAAAGAAACCCUGCUACCACUUCAGGAUCAUCCAUCAGCUGGGACUGAUUCAUCGUGUGUUCUUCACCACCUGGACCUGCACAGCAUGGACACAGAUUUUCAACAGGUGGUUGCGGUUAAAGAAGAAGCUACAGAAGAACAGAGUGCUCGUGUCAACCACCAGCACCUAGAUUUUCUCCACACAAAGGAGGAAUAGGAGAAACUCUGGCCUAGUAUGGAGGGAGAGCAUCUCCAUUUGAAUAAGGAGACUGAUGCUGCCCGGUUUCAAUCCUUUAGCCAUAAAACACAUUUAAACAAACACACGAGAGUCUACAUGAAGCAGAAACAUUUUGCCUGUGAGCACUGUGGACAAAGGUUUCACCAAAAGAUUAAUUUAACCACACACACAAGCGUCCACACAGGACAGAAGCCUUUCGCCUGUGACCUCUGGGGAAAGAAAUUUAGCUUAAAGUCAAAUUUAAACAUUCAUAUGAAAGUCCACACAGGAGAGAAGCCUUUUGCCUGUGAGCUAUGUGGACAAAGAUUUAGCCAAAAGACCCAUUUAAACAUUCACAUGAGAGUCCACACAGGACAGAAGCCUUUUGCAUGUGAGCUCUGUGUAAAAAGAUUUAGCCAAAAGACACAUUUAAACAGUCACAUGAGUGUCCACACAGGACAGAAGCCUUUCGCAUGUGAGCUCUGUGUAAAAAGAUUUAGCCGAAAGACACAUUUAAACAGUCACAUGACUGUCCACACAGGACAGAAGCCUUUCACCUGUGAGCUCUGUGUAAAAAGAUUUAGCCGAAAGACAAAUUUAAACAGUCACAUGAGUGUCCACACAGGACAGAAGCCUUUCGCCUGUGAGCUCUGUGUAAAAAGAUUUAGCCAAAAGAUAUGUUUAAACAGACACAUGAGAGUCCACACUGGCUUUUCGCCUGUGAGUUCGGUGGAAAAGAUUUACCCAAAAGAUCAGUUUAAACUGUCACAACAGAGUCCAUAAAAGACAGAAGCAUUUUGCUUGUGAGCUCUGUGGACAAAGAUUUAGCCAAAAGACACAUUUAACUAGUCACAUGAGAGUCCACACAGGACAGAAGCCCUUCGCCCUUGAGCUCUGUGUAAAAAGAUUUAGCCAAAAGAUAACUUUGAACAGACGCAUGAGAGUCCACACUGGCUUUUUGCCUGUGAGUUUGGUGGAAAAUAUUUACCCGAAAGAUCAAUUUAAACGGUCACUUGAGAGCACACAGGAUAGAAGCCUUUCACCUGUGAGCUCUGUGGACAAAGAUUUAGCCAAAAGACACAUUUAAACAGUCACAUGAGAGCCCACACAGGACAGAAGCCUUUCGCUUGUGAGUUCUGUGUAAAAAGAUUUAGCCAAAAGACACAUUUAAACAGACACAUGAGAGUCCACACUGGCUUUUCGCCCGUGAGUUUGGUGGAAAAGAUUUACCCAAAAGAUCAAUCUAAAAGUCACAAAAGAGUCCAUAAAGGACAGAACCAUUUUGUGUGUGAGCUCUGUGGACGAAGAUUUCGCUGAAAGAAAACUUUAAACAAUCAUCUAAGCGUCCACUAGGGCUGAACGAUCUAUUGCAGGGGUCUCCAACCUUUUUUGGCCCGUGAGCUACUUUUACACAAUCAAAGUACAGCAGAGUUACUGCCAUAUGAUUUAUUUACAUAGAUACUUUCCAUGUGUGAAUGUGCUUAUGUUAAACAUGCUAUACUUACUAUAUUAACAUGCAUUGUAUUCACAAGUUGAUUUCUCUGUAUUUUAGUACAUCAGUAUAUGUAUAUUUUAAAAGUAUAAGUAAACUAGUGACAUUCUGAAAACCAAAUUGAACAAAACAUAUUUAGUUUUUUAAACUAAUCAGAUACUUUCAGAUAAUGAAUAACAAAUCUACUUCAUGUGAAUGAUUUGGUAAUUUUUUUAGAAGGUUAGUAACAUAACUUUUUAAGCACACAGGAACAGCUAACCUGUAAAGCUGAUGAUAUUUUAUAUAAAAUACAAGCUAAAUGUGAUGAAAACACAAAAGUCUAAAUAGUUUGAACUGAAGUAAAAAAUGUAAAAUCAGAAAUAAGACUUGUUCCUGCUCUCCUGAUUUACUGAAUAAUCUUAAUGGGGUUUUUUUUUUUUUUUGGUCAUGAAAGUUAAGUUUUGCUGGUUUAUUGCUGACAAUAUUAAGGUUGGAGGUUUAUCCUUUUUUUUCUGCAUCUUGUAGGUUUUUUCUCCGCAGGUCUGAAGGCUGUGCGUUACACAGAGCAGAGAGACAGAGCAAGAGACCAGAACCAAAAGAAAUGAUCACAUCACACCAAUCUUAAAAUAUUUACAUAGGCUUUCAGUAACUUACAUGAUUGAUUUCAAAGACCUUUUACUUACUUUUAAAUCAUUAAAUGGCCAACGACCUCGUACUUAGCAGAGAUGUUUCAAACGUAUCACCCUUCAAAAUCACUUAGGUCAGCAGAUAAAUCCCAACUGGUACAACCCAGAGCCCGCAUCAAGCACGGAGCGGCUGCCUUUAGCUGCUAUGCGGUCAAUCUCUGGCACUGUCUUCCAAUAGACAUUAAGACCUCUCCCACCAUUUCCAUUUUUAAAUCCAGAUUAAAAACUAAACUUUUUCAUGAUGCCUUCCAUUAACCUAUCCUUGCAUCUGUGCUCUAUUAGGUCUUCAUCUGUACUGUGUUAAAUUUAUUCUAUAUGUAUUUUAUAUGUAUACCUAUUCCGUGCUGUUUUAUUGUGUAUUAUUGUGUAAUUAAAGUGAAUACUUGUAAUAAAGUGUAGUUAUUGUGUAAAGCAGUAUAUACUAGCAAUGAUUAAUAAAAAUGAAAACUAGAAUUGAACCUGAGUUACAUGGUAAUAACAAUUUAAGAACUCAGAAACAUUCUUCAACUCCGAAUCAGGAGGAUCAGCACCUCCAAAUCUGAGACCAUGUUUCUCGACCGGAAAAGGGUGGCUUGCCAACUCCGGGUCGGGGGAGAGGUCCUACCUCAAGUGGAGGAGUUUAAGUAUCUCGGGGUCUUGU